rnacentral:rRNA from 1 species
AAACGUAGGAGGCGAGCGUUAUCCGGAUUUACUGGGCGUAAAGCGUGUGUAGGCGGUUUGUAUAAGUUGGAUGUGAAAGCUCCUGGCUUAACUGGGAGAGGUCGUUCAAAACUAUCAGACUUGAGAGUGGUAGAGGGAGGUGGAAUUCCGCAUGUAGUGGUGAAAUGCGUAGAUAUGCGGAGGAACACCAGUGGCGAAAGCGGCCUCCUGGCCCAUUUCUGACGCUCAGACACGAAAGCUAAGGUAGC